ACGCUCGACACCUACGAGAGGCAGCAGUGGGGAAUAUUGCACAAUGGGGGAAACCCUGAUGCAGCGACGCCGCGUGGAGGAAGAAGGUCUUCGGAUUGUAAACUCCUGUUGUUGGGGAAAAAGAGGAUGGUACCCAACAAGGAAGUGACGGCUAACUACGUGCCAGCAGCCGCGGUAAUCUGAGCGGGCUGGCAAGGC
rnacentral:rRNA from 1 species